rnacentral:rRNA from 1 species
CCAAUAGCGUAUAUUAAAGUUGUUGCAGUUAAAAAGCUCGUAGUUGAAUUUCGGGAUCAAUAUGUUGGUCGUGCCUCGGUACGUACUAGCUUAUUGGUUUCUCCUUUCUGAAGAACCAUGAUGUCAUUUAUUUGGUGUCGUGGGGAAUCAGGACUGUUACUUUGAAAAAAUUAGAGUGUUUAAAGCAGGCUCACGCUUGAAUACAUUAGCAUGGAAUAAUGAAAUAGGACGUUUGAUUCUAUUUUGUUGGUUUUUAGGAUCGACGUAAUGAUUAAUAGGGAUAGUUGGGGGCAUUAGUAUUCAAUUGUCAGAGGUGAAAUUCUUGGAUUUAUUGAAGACUAACUACUGCGAAAGCAUUUGCCAAGGAUGUUUUCAUUAAUCAAGAACGAAAGUUAGGGGAUCGAAGACGAUCAGAUACCGUCGUAGUCUUAACCAUAAACUAUGCCGACUAGGGAUCGGAUGAUGUUAAUUUUUUAAUGACUCAUUCGGCGCCUUACA